rnacentral:rRNA from 1 species
AACGAACGCUGGCGGCAUGCCUAACACAUGCAAGUCGAACGAGACCUUCGGGUCUAGUGGCGCACGGGUGCGUAACGCGUGGGAACCUGCCCUUAGGUUCGGAAUAACUCCCCGAAAGGGGUGCUAAUACCGGAUAAUGUCUUCGGACCAAAGAUUUAUCGCCUUUGGAUGGGCCCGCGUUGGAUUAGCUAGUUGGUAGGGUAAAAGCCUAUCAAGGCGACGAUCCAUAGCUGGUCUGAGAGGAUGAUCAGCCACACUGGGACUGAGACACGGCCCAGACUCCUACGGGAGGCAGCAGUGGGGAAUAUUGGACAAUGGGCGAAAGCCUGAUCCAGCAAUGCCGCGUGAGUGAUGAAGGCCUUAGGGUUGUAAAGCUCUUUUACCCGGGAUGAUAAUGACAGUACCGGGAGAAUAAGCUCCGGCUAACUCCGUG